rnacentral:rRNA from 1 species
AUUGAACGCUGGCGGCAUGCCUUACACAUGCAAGUCGAACGGUAACAGGUCUUCGGAUGCUGACGAGUGGCGAACGGGUGAGUAAUGCAUCGGAACGUGCCCAGUAGUGGGGGAUAGCCCGGCGAAAGCCGGAUUAAUACCGCAUACGACCUGAGGGUGAAAGGGGGGGAUCGCAAGACCUCUCGCUAUUGGAGCGGCCGAUGUCAGAUUAGCUAGUUGGUGGGGUAAAGGCCUACCAAGGCAACGAUCUGAAGUUGGUCUGAGAGGACGACCAGCCACACUGGGACUGGGACACGGCCCAGACUCCUACGGGAGGCAGCAGUGGGGAAUUUUGGACAAUGGGCGCAAGCCUGAUCCAGCAAUGCCGCGUGCAGGAAGAAGGCCUUCGGGUUGUAAACUGCUUUUGUCAGGGAAGAAAUCUUCUGGGUUAAUACCUCGGGAGGAUGACGGUACCUGAAGAAUAAGCACCGGCUAACUACGUGCCAGCAGCCGCCGUAACAC